AGGGGAGAUGCUCAGAGCUUCAAAAAUUAUUACUAAAAAUUCACUGUUAGGGAUGGCUCUAACACAGUAAAAUAUUCUCUAAGGAGAGCUGAAUACAAAUUCUGAAAAACUUAACCAAGAAACCAGAUAAAUAGAUUAUCUUUUUAAAAAACUUACAAUAAAAAUCAGAAAUCCACUAUAAGCAGCUUUUAAGGAUGGAUGAUUUUCAUACAUAGAAGUCUCAAUAGUUAUGUUUGAAAUAUUUAGUCUACAUAACAAAUUUUGAAAGUCUCUUCCACAUUACAUUUACCACAAGAUUUUGAAAUUCUUUAUCUCCCCAAUUUAGGCUUACCACUAAUAAGUAGUGAGAAGGCUGGUUCUCAUCGGGGGAGGAGGAAAAUUCAAGUUAGUCCUGGCAGCCUGGCAUGAAGAACUCACGCACUGCCUCAGACUGUUCAGAGAGCAACUUAACACUCAAGAGCUGUAGGUCAGCCUCAGCGAACUAAAAAAAUCCACAAGGUGUUUCAUGAGCUUUUAUUACUGUUGUGCCUCAGGGCUAAGCUUUCUCAGAAAGUCAAGAAGGGAAAAAUCCCUUUGACAUGUUAUCUUACUGGCCUUAUAUUCAACCCACAGUAUGGCCUCUUUCAAAAAGAAUGGCCUCUUUAAUGUGAACCACAAAUUUGUAAAUUAGUAUUUUUCCCAAAAAUCUAUACUAUGAUUAGUAUGCUUAUGACACUGACAACAUUCCAAGCAAGAGAUCAACUUGAGCUGCAGCACAUCAUGUUUAACUAAGGUUCUAAGUUUUCACUUUUCCAGUCAGGAUUUUGUAAGUAAAAGAUAUGAUUCAUCACUGAUUGCCCCCAAGUUCAGAGCUAAAAUGGGCCCCAUGUUUGGGUCACCAUACUAUGCAAAUAAAAACUGAAUUACCUGCAGAAGGAGCAGAAUAACUGCUGUGACCUAAAAUCUGAGUAUCAACAUAAGAUUCUGGGUUUUUUGGUUACCACUUUUAUCAAUACAACACUACUUUUUCUUAUAACUCCUACUUAAACAAAGUUUAUCCAAUUUUAGGACCUCAAAAUGUUUUAACUAGUAGGCAUUUACAGAUUGAAUGGUAUUAGUAAUGGCAAAACAUGAUGCAUGGAUCUGCAGAAUAUAUUCAAACCCUAGUUCUGCCCCUUAGUAACGUAACCUUGGGCAAGAUUUUUUUCUUAAUUUCUAAACCUCAGUUUCAUUAUACAUAAAAUGGAGACAAAUCUACCUAUUGAGUAUUGCGAGAAUUUAAUAAUGAUAAACACCCAAACACCCACUGGGGCCUGAAAUAAUGUCAAGGUUUAACAAAUAUUAUUUCUCCUUUCCCCCAUCUUCUUUCUUGUGAAAAUGCUUCAAUUACAGAUCAGGACACCAUGUUUAAUUUCUGAUGAUACAAGGAAGUUGCUGGAUUUUGGCUGAACUGAGAUAAGCUUUUCCUAUAAAGGUAACACCUUUCAUACCUCAUUCCCUUCGCAUUCUCAUGUUCAGGGUUUUUAUUUCAGGUGUUAUGAGUGUUCACUGUGUUUGCAAGAUAAGCCAAAGAACCCACAAAAACAGAAACUGUUCAAUUUUACAACUUUAUUAAAAUGAAAUGUGUAAUUAAAUCACAACUACAUAAAUUGAAGUUGAUUAGAUCCGGUGUUGCUGUGAGCUGUGGCGUAGUUUGCAAAUGCGGCUCAGAUCUGGCAUUGCUGUGGCUGUGGUGUAGGCCAGUGGCUACAGCUCUGAUUCGACCCCUUGCCUGGGAACCUCCAUAUGCCGUGGGAGCGGCCCAAGAAAAGGCCAAAAAAAAAAGGUGAUUAGGAUUAAGGGGAAGGGAAACUCAGGUUUAAGAUCUGGUAGAGUGAGGCCUCAGGAUCUUUUCCUGAAGGGAAGCACAUUCGAGGUAAAGGGAAAAGAGCUCAAAGCCCCUAGCUUCUUCUCCCCAAGACCUCUGUCUUCUACUUUCCCACAGAACAACGAAUGGUGACAGUCCCAGGCACUCUUGACUGCACGACACCUGGGCAAGCCAUCCCAGCUGGGUGACCUCCUGGGCCCACCUCCACGCAGCCAGAGAACACUGACGAGGUCUCCAUUUAGAGCUUUCCUUUAAAGCCACACCUCAUUCCUCCUGGGUCACAGCUCUCCCACUUGUCCGCAUUCAUCUAGCCACCCCCUCCUUUCUGCCAGCCCCCUCCCCCACCGUAUUUCCACUUCUGCUGUACAACAUUGGUGAUCCCCAGGCCCUGCAGAUGGAACUGCUACGUCACUGAAUUCACAUGGCCUCAGUGUAGCUAAGUACCAUUCCCUUUAUUCAAUCGUCCUCCAUCUACAGUACAUCCCACAAAUCUACUGCUCUCAAACUCAAGACCUUUUGCCUCUGCGCUUGACAAAUGACCUUGCUAUCUCCUCAGCAAAGACCACAGACCUCCAUUUGGAAUCCGAUCAUCUACCCUACUCUCCUCUAAUUAUACUUCACGGUUACUUUCUGUAGGCAAUGUGGGGAACAGAGGAACCUUAUGAAAAGAUGCACAAAAGGAUUUCCCAUCAUGGUGCAGGAGAAAUGAACCCGACUAGGAACCGUGAGGACGCAGGUUCCACCCCUGGCCUUGUUCAGCGGGUUAAGGAUCUGGUGUUGCUGUAAGCUGUCCUCACGGCAACACUGGAUCCUUAACCUACUCAGUGAGGCCAAGGAUCAAAUCCACAUCCUCAUGGAUACUGUCAGCGUCUUAACCCUCAGAGCCACAAUGGGAACUCCUGGGUUGUCUUAGGUAUUUAGUCAGCAAGUGUUUACUGAGCGCCCAUCUUGUCUUAAAUGCUAUGCUAAAGACCUAGAAUAACAAGGAACAGGGAAACAAAUACUACUUUGUCCCACUCCAGGAUUUGUGUCUAUAGGUGACUGUUACGCCUACUCACGAUAAGAGGGGAUACCCUCCUUCUUUAGUCUCAAUAACUUGAGAUUUGGUUUCUAAAGCUACUUUCUUCCACAGAAAAGAGUACUCUGCAAAUAGUCCAAAACCCUGUGCAAAUAACAUCUGUACCUGCCACAAAUGUUUAAAUGUUAAUUCAUUUUUAAAUUAAUUAAACACACAUAAGAUUUACCAUGUAAGUGGACAGUUCAUUCACUUUAGGUACAUUUACAUUAUUGUGCAACUGCUGUCACUAUCCAGCUCCACUUUUUCAUCAUCCUUGGUUGAAAUUCUCUACCCAUUAACUCACUUAUUAACCAAAAAUGAUUUUCAUGGUUACCUUCACCCCCAGCUCCAUUAUCUUCUCUUGCUUUCCUACCCUGACAAUAUUCCAAGGUUCCUCACUGUUAAUCACCCUCUGGCAUCCAAUCACAGCUGGGGGGCAAAAUGCCAAUCUUGGCUGAACUGAUCACCUGGCUGCUCUGUCUCCCUUGUAUCAGAUGAAUGUUGGUGGGAAAAUGCCACACACUAACUGGGUUGAUUGGUUUCACCUUAAAUUCAGAUCCCGCCCCCCAGGCUGCAUCCAGACAGUCAAUAAUACCUAGCAAUCCUACCUCAUGCCCCAGUGAGCUCACUGUCCUGCUGUCCAAGGCAAAGUGUCCUUCUCAAACCAUCCACAUUCCUUCUCCCUUCCAGCUGCUGGCCCUGUGUCAGACUUCACGGAGAAAACAGAAGCCAUGAGAGCAGGAAGUCCCGUACUCCACCUCCAAUUCCGAAACCUGCCUUCUCUCCUGCUAUACUGUAAGACAUCUUGCUCCACCAAAGGCAAGCCCUCUUCUUGAAUUCCUUCUCUCUUCAAGAAUUUUGCUCCUUUGGUAGUAUUAUCUCUCUUCUGCCACAGUCUCUAUCAGAUAGUCUCACUAGCUUAUUUGAAAAUGCUCUUCUAUUUUCCAUCAUUUAAAAAAAAAAAAAAAAAAAGGAGUUCCCGUCGUGGCGCAGUGGUUAACGAAUCCGACUAGGAACCAUGAGGUUGUGGGUUCGGUCCCUGCCCUUGCUCAGUGGGUUAAUGAUCCGGCGUUGCCGUGAGCUGUGGUGUAGGUUGCAGACGCGGCUCGGAUCCUGUGUUGCUGUGGCCCUGGCGUAGGCCGGUGGCUACAGCUCCGAUUGGACCUCUAGCCUGGGAACCUCCAUACGCCGCAGGAGCGGCCCAAGAAAUAGAAAAAAAAAAAAAAAAAAAAAAAGAGGCGUUCCCGUCAUGGCACAGCGGAGAUGAAUCCGACUGGAAACCAUGAAGUUGCAGGUUUGAUCCCUGGCCUCGCUCAGUGGGUUGAGGAUCCGGCGUUGCCGAGAGCUGUGGUAUAUGUCUCAGCUGCGGCUCGGAUCUAGGGUUGCUAUGGCUGUGGCGUAGGCCGGCAGCUACAGCUCCGAUUAGACCCCUAGCCUGGCAACCUCCAUAUGCCGCUGGUGCAGCCCUAAAAAGACAAAACACACACAAAAAAAAAAAAAAAGGAAAAAAAAAAGUGCUCUUCCCUGACCCCACCUCUCUCUCCAGCCAUUGCUGUGCGGUUCUGUCCUUUACAGCAAAACUUUCCUAACAAGUGGUUUACAGUCACUUCACUCCAUUCCCUCAAUACAUUCCAAUGUGGCUUCCAUCCCUGAACGCCACUGAAACUACCUGUCAAGAGAGCAAAUCCUGAGUUCCCUUGUGGUCAACUGGUUAAGGAUCCAGAGUUGUCACUGCUGUGGCAUGGGUUCAAUCCCUGGCCCCAGAACUUCUGCAUGCUGUGGGCCCAACCAAAAUAAAUAAAUAAAUAAAUAAAUAAAAGAGAGGAGUUCCCAUUGUGGCUCAGCAGUAACAAACCCAACUAGUAUCCACAAGGACGCGGGUUCAAUCCCUGGCCUUGAUCAGUGGGUUAAGGAUCUGGCGUUGCCGUGAGCUGAGGUGGUCGGCUGCUAUAGCUCCAAUUUGUCCCCUAGCCAGAGAACUUUUAUAUGCCGCAGGCAUAGCCCUAAAAAAUGAGAGACAGAGCGCCAGAUCCAAGAGGAAUCUAUCCUCACUGUUCUCAAAAACUUCUCAGUAGCAUUUGGCAAAGCAGACCAUUCCCUCUUUUCCUGAAAAGGAUAAUUCACCCUCCUGCUUU
ensembl:lncRNA